GUGUCAGCAGCCGCGGUAAAACGUAGGUGGCAAGCGUUAUCCGGAUUCACUGGGCGUAAAGCGCAUGCAGGUGGCACAGUAAGUAGGGCAUGAAAACUCCUGGCUUAACUGGGAGAGGCUGUCCUAGACUGCUGAGCUUGAGGAUGGGAGAGGGAAGUGGAAUUGCCGGUGUAGUGGUGAAAUGCGUAGAGAUCGGCAGGAACACCCGUGGCGAAAGCGGCUUCCUGGCCCAUUCCUGACACUCAGAUGCGAAAGCUAGGGGAGCGAACGGGAUUAGAAACCCCCGUAGUCC
rnacentral:rRNA from 1 species